rnacentral:lncRNA from 10 species
CUGUUGCUCUUCAUUCUCAACAGAACUUUUGUCAUACUCUGUUUUAUACCAGGGUGUGACACUGCAGAUCAAGGCAGAGAACAGCUCCAGCACCCUAGAAGCCCUCUUUGGGGCUCUUUCUAUUACAGCUCUACACUCAAAGGUGAAUAGCAUCCUAACUUCUAAUAGCAGAGAUUCAGUGUAAAUGUUUUGAACUGUAUAUAACCGAAAUAAUAAAAUACAAGCUCUGCUUUUUCUGGCUUCUAUCUGUCAAUAUUUUGUUUGUGAAAUUCAUCAAUAGUAUUGUGUGUAGUUUUGAUCAUUGAUACUCAUUAAUGCACAGGGCUCGUUUGUGUGAGUAUACCACAUUUUAAUUUUACAUUCUCUUCCUGAUGACUCUUUUGCCAUUCUUUUUAUUGAGUUUUAAU